rnacentral:rRNA from 1 species
CAGUAGCCGCGGUAAUACGAAGGGUGCAAGCGUUACUCGGAAUUACUGGGCGUAAAGCGUGCGUAGGUGGUGGUUUAAGUCCGUUGUGAAAGCCCUGGGCUCAACCUGGGAAUUGCAGUGGAUACUGGGUCACUAGAGUGUGGUAGAGGAUAGUGGAAUUUCCGGUGUAGCAGUGAAAUGCGUAGAGAUCGGAAGGAACAUCUGUGGCGAAGGCGACUAUCUGGGCCAACACUGACACUGAGGCACGAAAGCGUGGGGAGCAAACAGGAUUAGAUACCCCCGUAGUCCCUGUCUAUUAUAA